rnacentral:lncRNA from 1 species
GUCUGUGGGAAAGGAUAAAUUACUUAAUCAAUGGUGCUGGAACUUUGGUUUAAAUUUUAUUUUUUAAGUUUCUUUUCUCCCCCACCUCCUCUCUUUUUUAACGUUUAUUUUAGGUUCGGAGGUACAUGUUCAGGUUUGUUACAUAGGUAAACUUAUGUCACGAGGUGGUUGUACAGAUCAUUUCAUCACUCAGGUACUAAGCCUAGUACCCAAUAGUUAUUUUUUCUGCUCCUUUCCCUCCUGUCACCUUCCAUCCUCAACUAGAUCGUCAUAUCUGUUCCAAUAUUAAUCUACUAGUAUGGAAGCAUGAGUGGAAAACAAGUCCACGUUGAGAUGCGCAGCCUCACUAGUAGUUGAAAAAAAAUCAAAUUAAACAGAAAUGAGAUACUUCUUCACACUCAUUCAGAAAAUCAAGAAGGCAAAUAACAGCGAGUGUGGCAAAGAUAUGAGUAAAUCGGGACCUUUGUAUUCUGAUGGUGGGGGUGCAAUUUGUUGAGGCA